CCUACGGGGGUCAGCAGUGAGGAAUAUUGGUCAAUGGACGAGAGUCUGAACCAGCCAAGUAGCGUGAAGGAUGACUGCCCUAUGGGUUGUAAACUUCUUUUAUAUGGGAAUCAACUGUUCCACGUGUGGGUUUUUGUAUGUACCAUAUGACUAAGGAUCGGCUAACUCCGUGCCAGCAGCCGCGGUAAUACGGAGGAUCCGAGCGUUAUCCGGAUUUAUUGGGUUUAAAGGGAGCGUAGGUGGAUUGUUAAGUCAGUUGUGAAAGUUUGCGGCUCAACCGUAAAAUUGCAGUUGAAACUGGCAGUCUUGAGUACAGUAGAGGUGGGCGGAAUUCGUGGUGUAGCGGUGAAAUGCUUAGAUAUCACGAAGAACUCCGAUUGCGAAGGCAGCUCACUGGACUGCAACUGACACUGAGGCUCGAAAGUGUGGGUAUCAAACAGGAUUAGAUACCCUGGUAGUC
rnacentral:rRNA from 1 species